rnacentral:lncRNA from 1 species
CUUCAUUAAAACAAUAAAAACAUUAAAAAAAAACAUUUUAGAAAACCUUUAUUUUACCCUUCUAGAAGGCUCCGACAUCCGAGAAUUCCGGAUUCUAACGGAGAUUCCGCCGGAAGGUAGGAAUUCCGAUGCCGGGGUCUAGCCGGGUAUUAUAGUACAUCUAGUUGUCUUUGAUUUGGUCCUUGCAUUUGAUGGAGUAGCUUCACCUUCUUCUUUUUACCUUGCUUUUCUGGACCUCCCAAGUAACCUUUUCAAAGGUGAUGGCAUAAUGCAUUGAGACUCAUCUUGUAUGCUGUAAUUGGCUUGUGGUAUUGGGUGAAUAAUCCAUGCAUAAACCUUCAAAUAUGUUGAAAUAUGAUAGUAAUAAUGACAAUAAUCCUCAAUAUC